rnacentral:rRNA from 1 species
UCGAACGGCAGCACGGGAGCAAUCCUGGUGGCGAGUGGCGAACGGGUGAGUAAUAUAUCGGAACGUGCCCAGUCGUGGGGGAUAACGCAGCGAAAGCUGUGCUAAUACCGCAUACGAUCUCUGGAUGAAAGCGGGGGACCUGCAAGGGCCUCGCGCGAUUGGGGCGGCCGAUAUCAGAUUAGCUAGUUGGUGGGGUAAAGGCCCACCAAGGCGACGAUCUGUAGCUGGUCUGAGAGGACGACCAGCCACACUGGAACUGAGACACGGUCCAGACUCCUACGGGAGGCAGCAGUGGGGAAUUUUGGACAAUGGGCGCAAGCCUGAUCCAGCAAUGCCGCGUGCAGGAUGAAGGCCUUCGGGUUGUAAACUGCUUUUGUACGGAACGAAACGGCUCCUUUUAAUACAGGGGGCUAAUGACGGUACCGUAAGAAUAAGCACCGGCUAACUACGUGCCAGCAGCCGCGGUAAUACGUAGGGUGCGAGCGUUAAUCGGAAUUACUGGGCGUAAAGCGUGCGCAGGCGGUUAUAUAAGACAGAUGUGAAAUCCCCGGGCUCAACCU